UACGGGGGGGGCAAGCGUUGUUCGGAUUCAUUGGGCGUAAAGGGUGCGUAGGCGGUGAUGUAAGUCGGGUGUGAAAUUUCGGAGCUUAACUCCGAAACUGCAUUCGAUACUGCGGUGCUUGAGGACUGGAGAGGAGACUGGAAUUCAUGGUGUAGCAGUGAAAUGCGUAGAGAUCAUGAGGAAGACCAGUGGCGAAGGCGGGUCUCUGGACAGUUCCUGACACUGAGGCACGAAGGCCAGGGGAGCAAACGGG
rnacentral:rRNA from 1 species